GCCUAGCCCUGACAGUAACGGCAUCCUUUCUAGCCGGGGUUCGGCUAGAAAGAUAUAGUGGAUGGCAGGAUUAGCU
rnacentral:sRNA from 1 species